rnacentral:rRNA from 1 species
GACGAACGCUGGCGGCGUGCCUAAAACAUGCAAGUAGGACGCUGAAGGAGGAGCUUGCUUCUCUGGAUGAGUUGCGAACGGGUGAGUAACGCGUAGGUAACCUGCCUGGUAGCGGGGGAUAACUAUUGGAAACGAUAGCUAAUACCGCAUAAUAGUAGAUGUUGCAUGACAUUUGCUUAAAAGGUGCAAUUGCAUCACUACCAGAUGGACCUGCGUUGUAUUAGCUAGUUGGUGGGGUAACGGCUCACCAAGGCGACGAUACAUAGCCGACCUGAGAGGGUGAUCGGCCACACUGGGACUGAGACACGGCCCAGACUCCUACGGGAGGCAGCAGUAGGGAAUCUUCGGCAAUAGACGGAAGUCUGACCGAGCAACGCCGCGUGAGUGAAGAAGGUUUUCGGAUCGUAAAGCUCUGUUGUAAGAGAAGAACGAGUGUGAGAGUGGAAAGUUCACACUGUGACGGUAUCUUACCAGAAAGGGACGGCUAACUACGUG